GAUGAACGCUGGCGGCGUGCUUAAUACAUGCAAGUCGAGCGAACAGACAAGAACUUUGUUGCGUUCUCGUUAGCCGCGCACGUGUGAAUAACAUGUGUGAAACGCACUUAAAACACGGGGAUAACUUCGGGAAUGCGGAGCUAACACCGUAUAAUAUUUCUAACCGUAUGGUUCGAUAGUGAAAGAUUGUUUUGCUAUCACUUAUACAUCGACUCGUGCUGUAUUAGCUAGUUGGUAAGGUCAAGGCUUACCAGGGGGACGAUACGGAGCCGACCUGGGAGGGUGAUCGGCCACACUAGAGCUGGGACGCGGUCCAGGGUACUGCGGGAGGCAGCAGUAGGGAAUGUGCGGCAGUAGGCGAAAGCCUGACGGAGCAACGGCACGUGUGUGAUAAAGGUCUUCGGAUCGUGAAGCUCUGUUAUUAGGUAUGAACAUCCGUGUAAGUAACUGUGCACUACUUGACGGUACCUAAUCAGAAAGCCACGGCUAACUACGUG
rnacentral:rRNA from 1 species